UACGUAGGGCGCAAGCGUUGUCCGGAAUUAUUGGGCGUAAAGAGCUCGUAGGUGGCUUGUCACGUCGGGUGUGAAAGCUUGGGGCUUAACUCCAGGUCUGCAUUCGAUACGGGCUGGCUAGAGGUAGGUAGGGGAGAACGGAAUUCCUGGUGUAGCGGUGAAAUGCGCAGAUAUCAGGAGGAACACCGGUGGCGAAGGCGGUCAUCCUGG
rnacentral:rRNA from 1 species